GAUGCAGCACUGUGAUCUAAUUUAAAUAAU
rnacentral:piRNA from 1 species